CAACGUUGCCGUAGCACUUUGCCAAAGUUUUCAGAUUUCACUAGAAAUAGUAGAAAUUAUGUGGAAAUUUUGAAUUCACUGAUAAUGCCUAAUAAUGAAAACUGAGAACUGAAAGGUUGGGGAAAAUUCUAUUUUACUGACAAAUACACAACCAGGUAAAAGUGAAACUGAGGAAUGCCAAAAAGAGGAAAACUAUUUUAUAAUAAAAAAAAAACUACAACCACAUAUAAGGAGAAUUUGAAAAUUAACGUUAAUUCAAGAGAAUUAAUAAAUCAAUUUUAAAUAAAUGUGAAAUGAAAAUAUUUACUAUUUGAUAGUUCACUGGUUUCGUCAAAAUACAUGACUUCUUAUUCUUAACCAUAGAUAGUAUAAUAGAUUAUUGCCAUUAUUUUAUUAUUAUUGGUUAUAUUUUGGGAUUACGUUCCUUGUGACCUUGUGUUUUAUCGAAGUGUUGUAUACAAAAUAAGAAAAGCACCAUGGGUCGUGUACGUACGAAGACAGUUAAAAAAGCAUCAAAAGUAAUAAUUGAAAAAUAUUACACUCGCCUAACCUUAGAUUUUCACACAAAUAAAAGAAUCUGCGAAGAAGUAGCCUCUAUUCCUACGAAGCCUCUCAGGAAUAAAAUUGCUGGAUUUGUCACCCAUUUGAUGAAAAGGCUUCGAUACUCUCAAGUUCGAGGAAUAUCAAUAAAACUUCAGGAAGAAGAACGAGAGAGACGUGACAAUUUUGUUCCCGCAGUAUCGGCUUUGGAUAGUGAUAUCAUCGAAGUUGACAACGACACCAAAGAGAUGCUUAAGCAGUUGGAUUUCACAAAUUUGCCUGGAUUACAACUAACUCAACCAACUACUAAUAAUUUCAAUAGAAGGGUUUGAGAAAAUAUAACAAAUAAAAGGUA